CUAGAUGGUCCCACUCAGCAGAAAGCAGGCAGACAAUCAGGCAGAAGCCUUGGAAAAGAGAGGCAAGAGGCAUGGAUGAUGAGACCCAUUUUGAGAUGCCAGGAAAGAACUGCAUUGUACUAUGAAGAGUGAACUUACUUAAUAUUGAACUCUUGCUGCGGAAGAACCAUAGAAGUGCCAGAAGAAUUUAGCAACAUAUGCCCAAAUGUGUGGUAAAAUACUUAGGCCUAUGUUCUCUCCAGAUCUCAGAAUGAGGUUACAAGGCAGGAAUAUCCAGUUUAGACUAGAAUGCACUCUCUGAGGAUUACAGAUGUUUGUUAAUGGCUUCUCCAGAUUUUGA